AUUGAACGCUGGCGGCAGGCCUAACACAUGCAAGUCGAACGAGUGGCGGACGGGUGAGUAAUGUCUGGGAAACUGCCCGAUGGAGGGGGAUAACUACUGGAAACGGUAGCUAAUACCGCAUACCAUCGGAUGUGCCCAUAUGGGAUUUGCUAGUAGGUGGGGGAACGGCUCACCUAGGAGGAGAUCCCUAGCUGGGCUGAGAGGAGGACCCGCCAAAAUGGAAAUGGUACACGGGCCAGACCUCUACGGGAGGGAUGAGUGGGGAAUAUUGCACAAUGGGCGCAAGCCGGAUGCAGCCAUGCCGCGUGUAUGAAGAAGGCCUUCGGGUUGUAAAGUACUUUCAGCGAGGAGGCGUUACUCGCAGAAGAAGCACCGGCUAACUCCGUGCCAGCAGCCGCGGUAAUUC
rnacentral:rRNA from 1 species